UACAGAGGGGGCAAGCGUUGUUCGGAAUUACUGGGCGUAAAGGGCGCGUAGGCGGCCUUCUAAGUCGAACGUGAAAUCCCUGGGCUCAACCCAGGAACUGCGUCCGAUACUGGAAGGCUUGAAUCCGGGAGAGGGAUGCGGAAUUCCAGGUGUAGCGGUGAAAUGCGUAGAUAUGCGGAGGAACACCGAUGGCGAAGGCGGCAUCCUGGACCGGCAUUGACGCUGAGGCGCGAAAGCUAGGGGAGCAAACGGGGAUUAAGAAACCC
rnacentral:rRNA from 1 species